GUGGAUUAGAUACCCGGGUAGUCCACGCCGUAAACGAUGGGCACUAGGUGCCGGGGGGAGCGACCCCUUCGGUGCCGCAGCUAACGCGAUAAGUGCCCCGCCUGGGGAGUACGGCCGCAAGGCUGAAACUCAAAGGAAUUGACGGGGGCCCGCACAAGCGGUGGAGCAUGUGGUUUAAUUCGAAGCAACGCGAAGAACCUUACCUAGGUUUGACAUGCAGAUGAAAGCUUCUGGAAACAGGGGCCCUUCUUCGGAACAUUUGCACAGGUGCUGCAUGGCCGUCGACAGCU
rnacentral:rRNA from 1 species